rnacentral:rRNA from 1 species
AACGAACGCUGGCGGCAUGCCUAACACAUGCAAGUCGAACGAGACCUUCGGGUCUAGUGGCGCACGGGUGCGUAACGCGUGGGAACCUGCCCUUAGGUUCGGAAUAACUCCCCGAAAGGGGUGCUAAUACCGGAUAAUGUCUUCGGACCAAAGAUUUAUCGCCUUUGGAUGGGCCCGCGUUGGAUUAGCUAGUUGGUAGGGUAAAAGCCUACCAAGGCGACGAUCCAUAGCUGGUCUGAGAGGAUGAUCAGCCACACUGGGACUGAGACACGGCCCAGACUCCUACGGGAGGCAGCAGUGGGGAAUAUUGGACAAGGGGCGAAAGCCUGAUCCAGCAAUGCCGCGUGAGUGAUGAAGGCCUUAGGGUUGUAAAGCUCUUUUACCCGGGAUGAUAAUGACAGUACCGGGAGAAUAAGCGCCGGUUAACUCCGUG